AACCUCCGCAAUGUACGAAAGUGCGACGGGGGGAUCCCAAGUGUUAUGCUUUUUUGUAUAACUUUUCAUUAGUGUAAAAAGCUUUUAGAAUAAGAGCUGGGCAAGACCGGUGCCAGCCGCCGCGGUAACACCGGCAGCUCGAGUGGUAGCUGUUUUUAUUGGGCCUAAAGCGUUCGUAGCCGGUUUGAUAAGUCUUUGGUGAAAGCUUGUAGCUUAACUAUAAGAAUUGCUGGAGAUACUAUCAGACUUGAAGUCGGGAGAGGUUAGAGGUACUACCGGGGUAGGGGUGAAAUCCUAUAAUCCUGGGAGGACCACCUGUGGCGAAGGCGUCUAACUGGAACGAUCUUGACGGUGAGUAACGAAAGCCAGGGGCGCGAACCGGAUUAGAUACCCGGGUAGUCCUGGCCGUAAACGAUGUGGACUUGGUGUUGGAAUGGCUUUGAGUUGUUCCGGUGCCGAGGGAAGCUGUUAAGUCCACCGCCUGGGAAGUACGGUCGCAAGACUGAAACUUAAGGAAUU
rnacentral:rRNA from 1 species